ACGCCGCCUGUGCGGCGUUCGCGCUCCUCACAACGGGGCCAGAGAGCGGGGGUGGUGCCGUGUCGGCGCAGCACCACCCCCGCGCC
rfam:Actinobacteria bacterium OK006 ctg43, whole genome shotgun sequence.